rnacentral:rRNA from 1 species
UACGAAGGGGGCUAGCGUUGUUCGGAAUCACUGGGCGUAAAGCGCACGCAGGCGGAUCGUUAAGUCCGGGGUGAAAUCCCGAGGCUCAACCUCGGAACUGCCUUUGAUACUGGCGAUCUUUGAGUUCGGGAGAGGUGAGUGGAACUGCGAGUGUAGAGGUGAAAUUCGUAGAUAUUCGCAAGAACACCAGUGGCGAAGGCGGCUCACUGGCCCGAUACUGACGCUGAGGUGCGAAAGCGUGGGGAGCAAACAGG